CGAACGGGUGAGUAACGCGUGAGGAACCUGCCUCAAAGAGGGGGACAACAGUUGGAAACGACUGCUAAUACCGCAUAAGCCCACGGGUCGGCAUCGACCUGAGGGAAAAGGAGCAAUCCGCUUUGAGAUGGCCUCGCGUCCGAUUAGCUAGUUGGUGAGGUAACGGCCCACCAAGGCGACGAUCGGUAGCCGGACUGAGAGGUUGAAUGGCCACAUUGGGACUGAGACACGGCCCAG
rnacentral:rRNA from 1 species